ensembl:lncRNA
AUACUGAGAACCUGGUGUCCACGGCUUCACGGCAAAGGGAAAAUCAGGGCAUGUAUUUCCUUGCAGAUGUUCUUUGAGUCUCUUUGAGCUCAUGACAGAAGGCACAGAAGCAGGUGAUGACAGAAGGCGCUCUGUGUGGAGGGGAGGAUGUGGCCAAAAUGUGCUUCGGUUCCUGGGGUUCGGCACUGAUGCUUGACCAAGUUCUAAAGAAGCUUGAGGCACCCCUGUUGUGCGGAAAUGAGGAAAUCCACAUCUCCCAACCCACUGCGGCAAAACAGAGGCUAAGACUGGACAUCACCGCCCUUUUAACUCAGAACAAGCUCUUGGAACGAGCCAGAGCCUUUGGAUGAAGCGGGCAAAUUCCUGUCCUGAACUGAGUGUCAGCUUCUUGCAGGGUCUCGUGGCUAAUGAUGGACCCUGUAUGUCCCUCCCUGCCCUCCAGACCGUAAGCCUCUCCAGAGCCUCGUGAUGAGUUCUGGGCCCUUGGUGGCGUGCCCACCAGCCCGACUCCCCUGUUCCAGAGCCACAGUACAGCCAGCUGGAUGUCUGGACGCUUCCCAAACCCCAGGCGCUCUGCCCACUGUGUGGCCUGAGCAUGCUCUCCCUCUGCAGAGAAGAUGCCUUUCCCACUUCCCACCCCGACACCCCGCCCUCACAAUUCUGCCUUUCUUCCAGGCCCACCUCAAUGCCUCCUCCUCUAAGAAGCAUUUCUUACCCCUUAAACCAUCUGUGGUCAUGCCUACAUUUUGAUUUUUGUAGGGGCUAAAUAUUGUACCUUAUGCUAUGUU